GAUGAACGCUAGCGGGAGGCCUAACACAUGCAAGCCGAGCGGUAUUGUUUCUUCGGAAAUGAGAGAGCGGCGUACGGGUGCGUAACACGUGUGCAACCUGCCUUUAUCUGGGGGAUAGCCUUUCGAAAGGAAGAUUAAUACUCCAUAAUAUAUUGAACGGCAUCGUUUAAUAUUGAAAGCUCCGGCGGAUAGAGAUGGGCACGCGCAAGAUUAGCUAGUUGGUGAGGUAACGGCUCACCAAGGCGAUGAUCUUUAGGGGGCCUGAGAGGGUGAUCCCCCACACUGGUACUGAGACACGGACCAGACUCCUACGGGAGGCAGCAGUGAGGAAUAUUGGUCAAUGGGUGCAAGCCUGAACCAGCCAUCCCGCGUGAAGGACGACUGCCCUAUGGGUUGUAAACUUCUUUUGUAUGGGGAUAAACCUACCCUCGAGAGGGUAGCUGAAGGUACUAUACGAAUAAGCACCGGCUAACUCCGUG
rnacentral:rRNA from 1 species